UGGAACUCAGCAUCAAAAUCUGAGAGGC
rnacentral:piRNA from 1 species